GAUCUGUCUGCUUAAUUGCGUUUCAAAUUUUUAACCNAGGACCGGGUUUUGGUUUGGCUAGUGGUCCUACGAUGACUGUGAACUGUCAUGUCUUCNGAUGUACGACUAUCGGUCUAGGAUCACAUGACUUGCCCCUGGGACUCUUUUGAACGCAACGGACGUGAUUGCAACCCCU
rnacentral:rRNA from 1 species